CCUACGGGAGGCAGCAGUGGGGAAUAUUGGACAAUGGGGGGAACCCUGAUCCAGCGACGCCGCGUGAGUGAAGAAGUAUUUCGGUAUGUAAAGCUCUAUCAGCAGGGAAGAAAGAAAUGACGGUACCUGACUAAGAAGCCCCGGCUAACUACGUGACAGCAGCCGCGGUAAUACGUAGGGGGCAAGCGUUAUCCGGAUUUACUGGGUGUAAAGGGAGCGUAGACGGCGAUGCAAGUCUGAAGUGAAAGGCGGGGGCCCAACCCCCGGACUGCUUUUGAAACUGUAUGGCUGGAGGGCAGGAGAGGUAAGUGGAAUUCCUAGUGUAGCGGUGGAAUGCGUAGAUAUUAGGAGGAACACCAGUGGCGAAGGCGGCUUACUGGAAUGUAACUGACGUUGAGGCUCGAAAGCGUGGGGAGCAAACAGGAUUAGAUACCCCUGUAGUC
rnacentral:rRNA from 1 species